rnacentral:lncRNA from 1 species
GAUGAGAGAACAGAGGCUUUGUUGAUAUCCAGAAUGGGAUGGAUGACUGUCAAAUGAAGUCCGAAUAUCACUACUAUAUAUAUAACUGAAAUGGCUUUGGCAGUAUUAAUAGUACAAAAAGGUGUGGCACGGACAUUCUAAAGCCCCUUUCUCUAGAAGUUCUCUCUCCUUUUUUCUGGGAUGGUUUUCGUUAUAUGAUUGGGGAAGAAAACGAAACUUACUGUCAGGAAUAUGAGUUUGUAGUUUGAAGACCAACUCUCUAAAUGUACAUUUUUG